AAUCAACGCUGGCGGCGUGCCUAACACAUGCAAGUCGAACGAGAAAGUGGAGCAAUCCAUGAGUACAGUGGCGAACGGGUGAGUAACACGUGACUAACCUACCUUCCAGUGGGGGAUAACCUCGGGAAACCGGGGCUAAGACCGCAUAACCUCGUGAGGUGAGAUUCCUUGCGAGCAAAGGGGUAAGACGCUGGAUGAGGGGGUCGCGGCCGAUUGGCUAGUUGGCGGGGUAACGGCCCACCAAGGCGAUGAUCGGUAGCCGGCCUGAGAGGGCGCACGGCCACACUGGAACUGAAACACGGUCCAGACUCCUACGGGAGGCAGCAGUGGGGAAUUUUGCACAAUGGGGGAAACCCUGAUGCAGCAACGCCGCGUGGAGGAUGAAGUCCCUUGGGACGUAAACUCCUUUCGACCGGGACGAUAAUGACGGUACCGGUGGAAGAAGCCCCGGCUAACUCCGUGCCAGCCGCCGCGGUAA
rnacentral:rRNA from 1 species